AAGGACUAAACGACAAAUCCUCCUUUGUCGAGUCUAAAUAGUCCUAAGGACUUCACCACAACAUAGGAGUUCAUUAGAAGAUGAAAUAAUUUAUGAUGAAAAAUACCAAAAUAACUUUUAUUUAUUUAUAAUUCAUAUACUAAUACAAGAAAGAGCACAAUUGUCAACAGGCUGAUGAUUGGCUUUGGGACACUAUUUCUAACAAUC
rnacentral:lncRNA from 1 species